rnacentral:tRNA from 1 species
CGGGGUAUAGCGCAGCCUGGUAGCGCGUCUGUUUUGGGUACAGAAUGUCGUAGGUUCAAAUCCUGCUACCCCGA